UUUGUUUCAACAUAUAGUAGGAAUUAAUAUGAUUAUGUAUAAAAAUGAUUGAUAAUAAUAACUGAAUAUGACAUCGCAUUGUAUACUGCUUAAUUUAAUUAUUGUUUUUGAACUAGCUUAAUAAUUUUAGUUACAAUAAUUGUGUAACAGAGGCGAUUAAGGGAUAGUCACGAUAGCGUUCUAAAAGUCGUUGCGGAAAGGAUGUGUAGCUGACGUAGCUGUUAUAUACAAAAACAAUGGGUAGACAGUCUCAAAGGGUGCGUGUCUUAUGAUAAAUAGUGCAUGCAGCCGUAAAAUAAUGUGAUUUGUAGUAUUUAAUUUUAAAAUAUAUUUUUAUAAUGUGUAUGCUAGUCUUAAGGUAUUUAUCUAUGGGCCACUACUUGCCUGAAAUAAAGGUAUAUAUAUAAAAAAAUAAAAAAUAAAUUGUAAGUACCUACCUGUUAACAUUUUGUGCCCUAUCAGGAUGUCAUGUACCAACUAAAUGAAACUAACAUUUUUUGUAAUGAACAUGACAUGUAAUGUUGAAUACUUAAAUUGGACAUGUUUGUUUGAGUAAUUUGUUAAAACUAUUUUUUUAAGUGUUUCUAUUAAAACUUCAUUAAGGUGACAUGUCAGUGACAGAUUGAACGGCAAUAAUUGUGGCAGUAAUGCGGUAGCGAAAGUCACUUAAUUUUAUAAAAGAGAUUGACAGAUACAGCAACGACAUUAAGGUCGUGGCAGUAAUGUCGCAACAGUAUUGUAGCUGUUGACAUUCUCAUGUCACCUUUAACCUCCAGUGACCCAAUCCCAAUGUCCUUUUAAAAGGUAAAUUUUUUUUAUACCACGUCGGUGGCAAACAAGCAUACGGCCCACCUGAUGGUAAGCAGUCACUAUAGCCUAUGGACGACUGCAACUCCAGAGGUAAUGGAAUAAAAAAAAGUUCCAAAUUCAAAACUGCAAAAAUGAUCAAAUUUAUACUGUUGUCUGUCAUGUGUGUGUGUUUAAACAGAUAAGGGUCUUAGGUGUAAAAAAUCAUAUAGUACCGUUGGUGUCAACUUGGUGGUAACUAGCGCAAACAGCCCUUCAUACUAAAUGUACGACAAACAUGUUCCUUAUAAUAUGGCUUUUCUAGUGCCCUAACCUAGGUUGUCUUUAAGAAUCUUUUGAUCCUGAAAUUCCUGAAUAGAAAUGGAUUCGAUUGGCAUCCAAAGAAAUUCACAAUUAUCGACUUUGAAAAAGUUUACUGUCUGUAGGUACACAUUUUCCAAAAUCUGAAAAUGUCAAUCGUCCUUAAUUAAAAAGUUUGGGAGAUCUCCUAUAGUUAUUUGUGUCCCAAGGGAGGAAAAAUAGGAAAUUGCGUGCCGCGUGUAAAAUUGUCACCUGAGCCGAAGGCGAGGGUGGCAAACACGCGGGAUGGAAUGUCCUACGUUUCUUCCCGUGGUGCGCAUACUAUUUUUCUGCUCGACGGAGGCGGAAAGAGGCAACUCAACUACGUUUAGCGCAGCGGGAGCAAAGUUGACUCUUUCUGCCUCGAGGGCAGAAAAGACUAUUUUCAUUUAUUUCAUGUAUUCAAUAAUGUAUUGUCAUGUUACAUAAUAGGUGUUACAUUAAAUAAAUAAGGCCAGUUCAUGACACCCUGUAAGGGCAUACAAUAAUAUUAUUCCAUUCUAACCUAAUAUUUACAAUACAUAAUAGUCGACUUACUUGUUAUUAAUUUAAUUAAAUAUUAUUUCUGGUUAUGUUAUACUUAUUAAAAUUACAAAAUACAAUUUCAAAUUACAAUUUACAAUUUUCGCAUAGCAGCACGGGAUCAAGUAGCUGUCCUCAGUGCCCCAUUUAAACAUUCCUCCAUUCCGUUCCAGGAACGUUGUACUUGUACGUGCGAGACAAGGAGCGCAAUAUAGAGUGCAAUGGACCGCCAGCGUCGUUACCACGACGCACGCACGAAUGAGGAAAAUACGAGAAUUAUACUGAGUUUAUUAUUAAAUCACUUAUUCAUUACUAUAUGUGUAACCGCCACGACACGGAAAACACUGAGGUUACUAACUAGAUUUUUUUUUCUAAGCCUGCUCUUCGAGACCUUUCUGGCCUUCAAAAUUUACGGCGUCGGCGCUCAGCGGCCACGGCGGUCGGCGACAGCGGCGCUCGGCGGCGACGGCGCCCGACGGCGACUCUGAGCCGAUUUCAGCAACCUUUAUAGAUCAAAAAAAACCAAAAGACAUUUUUUUGCAAAACUCAAGCCAGUCUCACCGAAAAGCCACACGCUUUAAGUACGUCGUUCGGAAGUGUCAUCCCAAUCUCAUGCUGUUCAAGCAGGCAAAGCAAGUGUUUUUCGAUUACACCUCUACGGAUUUUGAGGCUGUCCCACUCAUAUCCUUCAACUCGACUUGCUCGGCCAAUGAAAAUAAGUGUGUUAAUUAAGAAUGAGUACAUACUAAGGUGUCACUGUAGAACGUUAUGCCCGUGGACUCGAUUUCGUCAACACUAGAAGAAAACAGACUUACAAUACCAUAUAAUAUAAUCCGAUACGAUACGAUAAGAUGCGAUACGAUACAAUACAAUACAGACUUAUUUCGUGACCGUGACAUUUUAAAAGUAGUCUACAGAUUGUACGAACUGUUCCUUAAAGUAGUCUACAGAUUGUACGAACUGUUCCUAAAAGUAGUCUACAGAUUGUACGAACUGUUCCUAAAAGUCAACGAAACGGUAGCUGGUACUUACAGAAGAAAAUGAAAAUACUAACAUUUGAGGAGUUCCCUCGAUUCCUCAUGGACCUCAUCGUUCGAACUCGAAUUUGACAAAAAUUUGUCUUGAAAAUCUAAUUUACUUAACAAACACAGCGUAGAGGACAAAUCGCCAAACGUGUACUAUGCGUCGUUGAAGAGUUCCAUUCUGAUCAUCAUCAGCAGUUCCACUUCAUCAAAUGUCACUUUUUUAAAUGUAAAUACUUGAUUUGUUAAAGAAAAUACAGAAAUCACAAUA